rnacentral:rRNA from 1 species
UACGUAGGGUGCGAGCGUUUAAUCGGAAUUACUGGGCGUAAAGCGUGCGCAGGCGGUGCUGUAAGACCGAUGUGAAAUCCCCGGGCUUAACCUGGGAACUGCAUUGGUGACUGCAGCGCUGGAGUAUGGCAGAGGGGGGUGGAAUUCCACGUGUAGCAGUGAAAUGCGUAGAGAUGUGGAGGAACACCGAUGGCGAAGGCAGCCCCCUGGGCCAAUACUGACGCUCAUGCACGAAAGCGUGGGGAGCAAACAGG